GCAUAUCAAUAAGCGGAGGAAAAGAACCAACAGGGAUUGCCCUAGUAACGGCGAGUGAACAGGCAAGAGCUCAGAUUUGAAAGCCUUUUUGGCAUUGUAUUCUGAAGUCAGUUUCCUGAGUAUCGGUGUUUAAGUCUUCUGGAAAGGAGCGCCAUGGAGGGUGAUAGCCCCGUACGACACCUCACUCAUUGUAGGAUUCUGACGUGGAGUCGAGUUGUUUGGGAAUGCAGCUCAAAAGGGUGGUAUGCUCCAUCUAAAGCUAAAUAUCUGUGAGAGACCGAUAGCGAACAAGUACUGUGAAGGAAAGAUGAAAAGAACUUUGAAAAGAGAGUGAAAAAGUACGUGAAAUUGUUGAAAUGGAAGGAUAUGCCGCUAACAAUGUAGAGCCGUGUUUGGGGGGAAGACAAAAGCUGAAGAAUGUAUCUCUUUUAGGGAAUUAUAACUUCAGUCAAUAUUCCCAUCCGGGCGCGAGGACCUCAGGCUCUACUAAAUGGUGGUCUAUCACCCGUCUUGAAACACGGACC
rnacentral:rRNA from 1 species